rnacentral:sRNA from 1 species
UUGCCAUUAUUACUAUUGAUACUGUGCAUGUAACAUUUAAUGUGGUAUGGUGAUCAGUACUCUUUGGUGGUAGUUUUGUUUUAAGAGACAAGGUGUCACUGUGUUGCCCAGGCUAGUCUCAAUCUCCUCGACUCAAGUGAUCCUCCCCAUCAGCCUCCCAGGUACCUGGGAUUACAGGUGCCUGGCUUCUGUGGUUGCUUAAUAAGUCCAUGUUGAAUGAAUGAAGAGAACCAGUUCAGUAAAUUCAGUCAGGUGAUGUCUGUCAUUAGAUGAACCAUCGUUGUAGGUUAGGUAUAGAAAAGGCUGAUGAGAAAUUCUGUAGAUGUGGCUUUUUGGAACCACCUGUAAAUAUCUUCCUAUAAUUAUGUAGGAAGCUACCUGUAAAUAUUUUCCUAGAAAUAAAUAUGUGUAUUUUUUCCUAGAAAUACUUUCUUAGCUGCAAGUACGAUUUUAACUAUAUGCAUGCAGUUAUAUUCAGUGACUUUAUUUUUCCUCACGUUCCUGUUAUUAGAUUUCUGACUUACACAAGAGCCUAGAACAGAAAGAAAGUAAAAUCCAGCAGCUAGCAGAAACUAUAAAGAAACUUGAAAAGGAGUUCAAGCAGUUUGCACAGUUGUUUGGCAAAAAUGGAAGCUUCCUCCCAAACAUCCAGGUUUUUGCCAGUCACAUUGACAAGUCAGCUUGGCUAGAAGCUCAAGUGCAUCAAUUAUUACAAAUGGUUAACCAGCAACAAAAUAAAUUUGACCUGAGGCCUUUGAUGGAAGCAGUUGAUACAGUGAAACAGAAAAUUACCCUGCUAGAAAACAAUGAUCAAAGAUUAGCUGUUUUAGAAGAGGAAACUAACAAACAUGAUACCCACAUUAAUAUUCAUAAAGCACAGCUGAGUAAAAAUGAAGAGCGAUUUAAACUGCUGGAGGGUACUUGCUAUAAUGGAAAGCUCAUUUGGAAGGUGACAGAUUACAAGAUGAAGAAGAGAGAGGCGGUGGAUGGGCACACAGUGUCCAUCUUCAGCCAGUCCUUCUACACCAGCCGCUGUGGCUACCGGCUCUGUGCUAGAGCAUACCUGAAUGGGGAUGGGUCUGGGAAGGGGACACACCUGUCCCUAUACUUUGUGGUCAUGCGAGGAGAGUUUGACUCACUGUUGCAGUGGCCAUUCAGGCAGAGGGUGACCCUGAUGCUUCUGGACCAGAGUGGCAAAAAGAACAUUAUGGAGACCUUCAAGCCUGACCCCAAUAGCAGCAGCUUUAAAAGACCUGAUGGGGAGAUGAACAUUGCAUCUGGCUGUCCCCGCUUUGUGGCUCAUUCUGUUUUGGAGAAUGCCAAGAACGCCUACCUUAAAGAUGACACUCUGUUCUUGAAAGUGGCCGUGGACUUAACUGACCUGGAGGAUCUCUAGUCACUGUUAUGGGGUGAUAAGAGGACUUCUUGGGGCCAGAACUGUGGACGAGAGCACAUUUGAUUAUCAUAUUGACCUGGAUUUAGACUCAAAGCACAUUUGUAUUUGCCUUUUUCCUUAACGUUUGAAGUCAGUUUAAAACUUCUGAAGUGCUGUCUUUUUACAUUUUACUCUGUCCCAGUUUGAAACUUAAAACUCUUAGAAUAUUCUCUUAUUAUUUAUAUUUUUAUAUUUCUUGAAAGAUGGUAAGUUUCUUGAAGUUUCCGGGGUGUUUCUCUUUUACUGGUGCUUAGCGCAGUGUCUUGGGCACUCUAAAUAUUGAAUGUUAUGGAGGACACAGAGGUAGCAGAAUUCCCAGUUGAAAAUGUUUUCAUAUUUUAUUGUUUGGCCUAUUGAUUCUAGACCUGGCCUGAAGUCUGCAAAAGCCAUCUUUAUAAGGUAGGCUGUUCCAGUUAAGUAGUGGGUGAUGUAGUUACAAAGAUAAUAUGCUCAGUUUGGACCUUUUUUUCAGUUAAAUGCUAAAUAUGUGAAAAUUGCUAUACCUCUAAGUAUUUUCAUGAAAUUCACCAGCAGUUUGCAAGCACAGUUUUGCAAGGCUGCACAAGAACUGGUGAAUGGGGUAAGCAUUUUCAUUCUUCCUGCUGAAGUAACGCAGAAAGUACUGCAUAGUAUAUAAGAUAUAGCCAGCUAGCUAAAGUUCAGAUUUCAUUAGGUUCAACCCUAUGAAAAAAACUAUUUUCAUAGGUCAAAAAUUGUAAAAAAAAAAUUAGCAGUUUCAUAAGAUUCAACCAAAUAAGUAUAUAUAUACACACACACAUACAUAUACACCUAUAUAUGUGUGUAUACAAACAGUUUGAAUGUAUUUUGGUAACAGUAAUAAAUCAAUGUGAGGAUGGAUAGGAUUUAGUAUAUGAUAGAGAAAAUGUCAUAAAUGGAUAAAAGGAAUUUACAACUUGAGGAGAAAACCUUUACAAUUUCCUAUGGGUGUCAGAAGUACUCUCAGCAAAAACUGAUAGCUAAAACAGUAUCUACUAUUCUCUGAUAACUUUUUUUUUGAGACAGAGUUUCGUUGUCACCCAGGCUGGAGUGCAGUGGCGUGAUCUCAGCUCACUGCAACCUCCGCCUCCCGAGUUCAAGUGAUUCUCCUGCCUCAGCCUCCUAAGUAGCUGGGAUUACAGGCGCCCAUCACCACACCCGGCUAAUUUUUGUAUUUUUAGUAGAGACGGAGUUUUGCCAUGUUGGCCAAGCUGGUCUCAAACUCCUGACCUCAAGUGAUCUGCCCGCCUCUGUCUCCCAAAGUGCUGAGAUUACAGGCGUGACCCACCGCGUGAAGCCUCUGACAACUAUUGAAUUUGUAAGCUGCUAUGCAAAUAGGCAUUUAUAUAAACUUGUAGUGUUUCUUGUCAGAAUUCUGAGUACUUUGUGAAGAACAGAAAUGAUCAUGUUCUUAUGCAUCUAUCUGUAUGGGUCUGAAGGUGUAUAUACAAAUUGAGAUGAGUCCUUAUGACUCUUGAUAAGCCUGAGUUUAACAACAACAACAAAAAUGCCAAGUUGUCCUGAGCCCUUCUGCAUUGUUAUGCCACUUCCCUACUGCUCAUAUGCACGCUGGCUCCCCUGGGCACGCAAGGAUGAGUAUGGGCCACGGGCCCCUGUAGAGCUGCUUACCUGGUGGUGACCAUGCACCUUACAAUUUCUGAACAGUUAACCCUAUAGAAGCAUGCUUUAUAUGAGUGUCUUCUGGGAAGAGGAACCUUCUUAAUCUCUUCUGUGGGAUUUUCAAAAUGCUAAAGACUCACACUGCAGCAAUCAUCCCAGAUGAUUAAAUUCAAAGAAAUAGGUUCACAACAGGAAUAUACUGAAGAACUAGAGUGUCGCUGCUGGUGAACUGUGGCACAGUUGCUCAACACAUCACCUCGGGCAAAUUCAGGAAGCAUUUCUUUAGCCCACAAGGCCAGACCCAGGUGCUCUGUGUGUUUGUUUUUAAUGUUCUUCAUCAUAUCCAAGUUCACUCUGUCUUCCUGAGCAGUGGAAGAUCAUAUUGCUGUAACUUCUUUUAAGUAGUUGAUGUGGAAAACAUUUUAAAGUGAAUUUGUC